rnacentral:tRNA from 2 species
GGGGGCGUAGCUCAAUUGGUAGAGCACCUGCCUUGCACGCAGGAGGUCAGCGGUUCGAAUCCGCUCGCCUCCA